AUUGAGCCAAAGUGCAUACCCAGCGCGUCCAUGAAUAGAAGCACUAGUGCUUUUUUUAGAGAAAAAAGAGGCACCAAGGGCUUGCUUGGCACGGUAAAUCCCGCUAGGCACAUAAAAAUUACAACCAAUUCAAACACCCCUACAAGUGUAACACAGAAUGGACUGUAGUGCUGAGCAAAUCCGACGACCCGGGUAGAGGAAUUAUCAGCAGUUCCUAUGGCCAUCUAAAUUAAGCAGCGUGGACUGGGCAAAGAAGCCAUGCUUUUGUCAUCCUCUUGCCCAUAUUGUCAGAUCUAGACAGUGAGAACCAUAAAUUUUGCCAGCCGGAAGAGUGAGCCGUCACGUCAUUCACAAGGAAUACAGGGGUACAAAGAAAUGGUGAACAUGUCUUGUUUACUCACAGCUAAUCCUUAGGUGUUAAUUACAGUAUUGAAUCAUGGAAGAUACGGCAUGAUUCCGAUAGGGACCUUAAUUCAGAUCUGCCCAAAAUGAAAUUCAGGAUCUCACAGCUAAUCCUACUUGACAAAUACAAUGCCGCAGCUAUGUGUCACACUUCUAUACGAUGGAUAAUUUACAUGAUGGCUGGCUGACCUUAGAAGAGAACAGCCGUUCUUAGUUAGCAUGCCUUUGGCCUGAGAGAAAGCCCACUGAACAUGUUGGUACCAACAGGCAAUUCCCUUGCUCCAUAGCAUUACAAGACGGAGUAUCUUGUGCUUUGGCUCUUCAACACAGGUCCCACCCUCCCUCCCACCCUCCCUCCCUGUCAAUCCAGUUGUUCAUCUUAGAUCCUAACUCCAUGAUAAUACAUCUAACAGAUCAACCAUUGCAAG
rnacentral:lncRNA from 1 species